GUCAAGUCUCUUAUAUGAGUUUGAGUCGCUGUCAUUAACACUGAAAUACUCCUUAGAAGAGCUUUAAGAACACACAAAAUGUUCUUUAACGCAUUAACUUCAAGAAAAUACAACAUUAAAGAAAUAUCAGGAUUUUCACGCAGAGCUUUAUCAUAGGCGCUUGACGAGACUAUGCUAUAGGUCACAUGUUCUAAGGCUGAACGCAAGAUUAAUUAUCUUGUGUUUUCUCCCUAGGAGUCACUGAGGAACCACGCUAACUAAAAACAGUGUGACUCCCAGCCCAAGGACGUUCCUGGGACCGCUCCUGAAAAAGACGGCAUACGGACGUUCCUCGCCCAAAGGGUUAACGCUGAUGGAAAACAAACAAACACGUCCAUAAAUAGGUGCUUUCCCUGGAAGAAAGACUUUAUACGCUACCAGCUCAUUUGGAAUUCAGCUGAAUGUCUCCCACAAUGGUCCGACAUACAGGGCUGACGAUGGGGGGUAAAUUAGAGCUUGGAGAUGAAUUAUCAAACGAUUAAAGAAAAAAAAGGGAGGCUGAGCCAAAGGGAAACAGAGCACAGAUAAUAUUGGCAAUGAUUUUGGAGACGCUUAUGUCUGUCUGUGUCGAACAGUUUGUAUUCUGGUUAGUUUUGUCUUCAUUUUAGGUGCAUUAUGAUCUGGAACAUAAUGUCUCUUUCGUAAAAAUGUGAUUAAAUAUUAAAAAGCAGCUCUUUUAAUGAAGUCAAGAGAGACGACAGUGAGACCAGAAAAAUGGCUAGAGGAUGUGUGUCCAUUCCCACCCUCCUCCUCCUCUCACUCCACCCUGCUCUCCGUGUUCCUACGAUAUUCAUUUUGAUUUCAAUUAAAGAUCCUGAGUGUGACUCUCGCAGAGAAAUUGCCUCUCUUUAAUUAGGUAGUCUAAGUUCAUGGAAGCAAUUGUUGUUUCCCCAGCACUUUCAAUUUGAUGAGCCAAGGACUCUCAUUUUAUAGCUAUGAAUGAAUAUGGUUUCAUACCCCUCAGGUUCCAUGUCCUGCUAACUGUCUGGAGAAUAUUACUUGUGUGUUUCUCAUUAGUGUAUUUGUGCUGAUGUGUGUGUGUGUCUUCUGGCCUGCAGGUGGGCUCCUCCAUCUGUGAUGAAGAGGACCACAUGGUGCGGUGCAGGCUGCUGCCCGCUGGUCAAUAAUCUAUUACAGGACGUUCCUCCUCCUCCUCUAUGUGACUAAUGCACUGCACAGAGACGGCCUCCCAGAGGUUAAUGCUGCUCAGCUGACCCCGGUCCCCUCUGACAAACACUGUCAAUGCUCGAUUUGGGGGGAAAAGCUCCCUCUGUGGCCAAACAUCACAUCAGCUGAGGGGUGCUGGUAGAGUCAUAUGAGAGUCCAGCUGUGUGCCAGGUAGAUAUGCCUACAAAACCAACACCAACAUUUCUUGCCAGUUUUUGGUGGGUCUUAGUCCAUCCAGCCUAUCCCAGCAUCUUCGGGCGAAGGCAGGGGACACCCUGGACACAUCGCCAGUUCAUCGCAGGGCUGACAUAUAGGAAAGAACAACCAUCCACGCUCACAUUCACACCUAUGGGCAAUUUGAAAGUGGCCAAUCAACGUAACCACGCUUAGGCAUGUUUUUGGGAUGUGGGAGGAAACCGGAGUACCCGGAGUAAACCCACGCAGACACAGGGAGAACAUCAAGCAGUGUUAAAUACAUUUGUCCCAAUCAAAUCAACAUGUAAAUCAAAUAAAGUGAGGGAUCGAGUGAGGCUACUACUGGUAGAGCUAGCACCACCAGCCUUGAGUACUCCCUACAGGUCAAUGCUUUAACGUCUGUGUUUGUUAAAUAUCACUGUGAUUUAAUUGUUAUAAGCCAGUGUAACCAACUUACACACAACUUUUUCCCCAUUUUCUCAUGAAAAAUACUCCCAAAU